AACGUACGCUGGCGGCACGCCUAACACAUGCAAGUCGAACGAAGUAGCAAUACUUAGUGGCAGACGGGUGAGUAACAUGUAGGUAUCUGCCCUUUGGCCUGGAAUAACACGAGGAAACUUGUGCUAAUACCGGAUAAGUCUUUACGGAGAAAGCUUUAUGCACCAUUGGAUGAGCCUGCACUUGAUUAGUUUGUUGGUGGGGUAAUGGCCUACCAAGACUGUGAUCAAUAGCUGAUUUGAGAGGAUGAUCAGCCACAUUGGGACUGAGACACGGCCCAAACUCCUACGGGAGGCAGCAGUGGGGAAUCUUGCACAAUGGAGGAAACUCUGAUGCAGCGAUGCCGCGUGAGUGAAGAAGGCCCUUGGGUUGUAAAGCUCUUUCGUCGGGGAAGAAAAUGACUGUACCCGAAUAAGAAGGUCCGGCUAACUUCGUG
rnacentral:rRNA from 1 species